AUGGACGAGUUCAUCAGUCUCGGCGACGAACCUCAGCCUCGUGCCUCGGAAGAUCUCCACCAGCCCCUCCAAGUCGAUGCCGUCGAUCUGAAUCUGAAUCUCAAUCACGCACCACCACAGUCGGAGCCGGAGCCGGAGCCUCUGCCAUCCCAGCACCACCCACAAGGCACCAAGGCCAGUACUAGUUCCGUCGUCGUCGAGGUCAUCGACCUCGAGGAAGGCCAGAUCGCCUGCCAACAAUCUUCUUCUUCUGCUGCUGCUGCUGCUGCCCAAGAUGCAGCAGCAGAUAACCCCCAGGCCAAGGCCAAAGAAGAAGCCUUGGGUGCCAAUGGAGUGGGGCCUCCUCCUCCCCCAUCCCACCAACAACCGCAAGAUGAUGACAUCAUCGACCUCGAAGAAGGCCAGGUUGAGGACAUGGACCUCUCCGACGACAAUGCCCUAGUCAUUGUUACAAAGCAGCAUGCUUGUGUUUCAGCAGCUGAAACACCCAUGGGCAACAAUGACGGGCCUCCCCUUUCUUCAAGACCGAGCAGCGGCGCCUUUAUCGACCAAAGCCCCACAAGAGGAGUUAAAAGACCCCGCACGGAAUCAGCCGAACCUUCUGUUCGUGUAGUCUACAACAACUUGACAAGGGAAAGCAAAAGGAAACUCGUGGAACUGAUGCAGCAAUGGUCCGAGUGGCAAGCUAGAAAGCAACACGCCUUGACGGAAACUGUGGAAGAAGUCUUGGACUGUGGUGAAGAGACUUAUUAUCCAGCAUUACAUGUUGGUUCAGAGAGAUCCUGUGCUGUGUCAUUCUGGGUGGAUAGCCAAGCACGAGGAAAUGCUGCUGUGGAUGAUGGUGCGGUGCCGCUGUAUGAUCGAGAAUUUACAUUGGGUUCAACUCCUAUGGGUGAUUCAUCAAAUGCUGAAGGCAAGAAAGAUAAGGAUGAUUCUCGCUGUUUCAACUGUGGUUCGUAUAGCCAUGCUCUUAAGGAUUGCCCAAAGCCUCGUGACCAUGUUGCAAUUAGCAAUGCCCGCAAGCAGCACAACUUGAAAAGGAACCUAUCUAAUGUUGGUAAUCGUGGACAAAAUCGCUACUACCAGAAGACGCCAGGCAAAUUUGAUGAUCUGAAGGCAGGAGUCCUGGGAUCUGAGACUAGAGAAUGCUUGGGGCUCAGGGAAAAUGACCCGCCGCCGUGGCUGCACAGGAUGCGCGAAUUGGGUUAUCCUCCAGGUUACCUAGAUGAGGUGGAAGAUGAAGACAAACCAUCUGGCAUCACCAUAUUUGGGGACGGGGAGGUGAAGGAAGAGCAGCAGCAUGAGGAGGGAGAGCUUCCGGAGAAGGGUGAACCAUCCCCGCCUCGCAAGAGGAUGACGGUGGAGUUCCCUGGAAUAAACGCGCCCGUCCCAGAGAACGGCGACCCUUGGCUGUGGGGCAGCGCUCCGCCGCCCCCUCUUCAGUCCUCCUCUGGCCGUCACCAGCACUCGUCAUCAGAUUCGAGGGAUAGAGCUCCUCCUGCCCCUCCAGGCGUCGAGCAUUACUCGUCAUCGAGGUAUCACUCGUACGACUAUGGACCGGCGAUCCCUGGUGCCGGAAGAAGAAGCUCAUCUGGUUAUGACGAUGGUGCCUGGACCCCGAGCCCCGCGUUUUCGAGCAGGCAGCACUCGGGCUCGGGCUCGGGCUCGAGGGAAAGGGAAAGGGAAAGGGAGAGGGAGAGGGAGAGGGAAAGGGAGAGAGAGAGGGACAGGCACUACUACAGCAACAGGAGGUGA
rnacentral:rRNA from 1 species